rnacentral:rRNA from 1 species
GUGGGGAAUUUUGCACAAUGGGGGAAACCCUGAUGCAGCAACGCCGCGUGAGUGAAGAAGGCCCUUGGGUUGUAAAGCUCUUUCGGCUGGGAAGAAGGGCUGUAUGGCUAAUAUCCAUAUAGUUUGACGGUACCAGAAGAAGAAGCACCUGCUAACUUCGUGCCAGCAGCAGCGGUAAUACGAAGGGUGCAAGCGUUGUUCGGAAUCACUGGGCGUAAAGAGCGCGUAGGCGGGUUUGUAAGUCACAUGUGAAAUCCCUAGGCUUAACCUGGGACGUGCAUGCGAUACUGCAAGUCUUGAAUGUCUGAGAGGGAGGCGGAAUUCCAGGUGUAGAAGUGAAAUUCGUAGAUAUCUGGAGGAACAUCCGAGGCGAAGGCGGCCUCCUGGCAGAACAUUGACGCUAAAGUGCGAAAGCGCGGGGAGCAAACAGGAUUAGAAACCCGGGUAGUCC